AAAAAACACCGUUUCCUCCAG
rnacentral:miRNA from 1 species